GCUGGGCAUGGGGGCGCAUGCCUGUAAUCCCAGCUACUUGGGAGGCUGAGGCAGGAGAAUUGCUUGAGCCUGGGAGGUGGAGGUUGCAGUGAGCUGAGAUAGUGCCACUGCACUCCAACCUGGGUAACAGAGCGAGACCCAGUCUCAA
rnacentral:SRP_RNA from 1 species